GAUGAACGCUGGCGGCGUGCCUAAUACAUGCAAGUCGAGCGAACAGACGAGGAGCUUGCUCCUCUGACGUUAGCGGCGGACGGGUGAGUAACACGUGGAUAACCUACCUAUAAGACUGGGAUAACUUCGGGAAACCGGAGCUAAUACCGGAUAAUAUAUUGAACCGCAUGGUUCAAUAGUGAAAGACGGUUUUGCUGUCACUUAUAGAUGGAUCCGCGCAGCAUUAGCUAGUUGGUAAGGUAACGGCUUACCAAGGCGACGAUGCGUAGCUGACCUGAGAGGGUGAGCCGCACAACUGGAACUGAGACACGGUCCAGACUCCAACGGGAGGCGGCAGUGGGGAAUAUUGGACAAAGGGCGAAAGCCUGAUCCAGCCAUACCGCGUGGGUGAAGAAGGGCUUCGGGUAGUAAAGCCCUUUUGUUGGGAAAGAAAAGCAGCAGAUGAAUACACCGCUGUUCUGACGGUACCCAAAGAAUAAGCACCGGCUAACUUCGUG
rnacentral:rRNA from 1 species